rnacentral:rRNA from 1 species
GAUGAACGCUGGCGGCGUGCCUAAUACAUGCAAGUCGAGCGAACGGACGAGAAGCUUGCUUCUCUGAUGUUAGCGGCGGACGGGUGAGUAACACGUGGAUAACCUACCUAUAAGACUGGGAUAACUUCGGGAAACCGGAGCUAAUACCGGAUAAUAUUUUGAACCGCAUGGUUCAAAAGUGAAAGACGGUCUUGCUGUCACUUAUAGAUGGAUCCGCGCUGCAUUAGCUAGUUGGUAAUGUAACGGCUUACCAAGGCAACGAUGCAUAGCCGACCUGAGAGGGUGAUCGGCCACACUGGAACUGAGACACGGUCCAGACUCCUACGGGAGGCAGCAGUAGGGAAUCUUCCGCAAUGGGCGAAAGCCUGACGGAGCAACGCCGCGUGAGUGAUGAAGGUCUUCGGAUCGUAAAACUCUGUUAUUAGGGAAGAACAUAUGUGUAAGUAACUGUGCACGUCUUGACGGUACCUAAUCAGAAAGCCACGGCUAACUACGUG